rnacentral:misc_RNA from 1 species
UUUCCGUAGGUGAACCUGCGGAAGGAUCAUUAUCGUACAACCGAGGUGCAAAGGCUGUCGCUGACCCUCAAAGGUCGUGCACGCCCGAGCGCUCUCACACAAUCCAUCUCACCUUUGUGCAUCACCGCGUGGGUCCUCCCCUUUGCGGGGGAGGGCUUGCGUUUUCACAUAAAACUCGAUACAGUGUAGAAUGUUUCUUUUUUUUGCGGUCACACGCAAUCAAUACAACUUUCAACAACGGAUCUCUUGGCUCUC